CAGUACGUGAUGUUGGUGAGAAGAACCAGCAGAGGACACAGGAAUUAGAAGAAGAGCUCACAUCUGUCCAUGAUUUCUAUUGCAUUUCAGUUUAUGUGGUCAUUGGAGACUCAGUUUGUGAAGUUGAGAAGUGCUUGGAAGACGGAAGCAGGGAAGAGGGCAAGGAAAGAAGGGGAGGAUGGGAAGCAAAACACUUUUGAAGAAGAAGCACAGCAGGAGAGGAAGUAGGUUUGAGCAGGUACUUGAUAGGACGUUGGAGAGGUUGAGUGUAACAGGCCAGAAAGAAAGAGGGAGCUAAGAAGAGGGUUGUCAAGAGAUUUGGAGAGG
rnacentral:lncRNA from 10 species